UUCUAGGCCUGAAGUAAAAGUAUAAGAUCUUUAUUUUAAAAAGUGACUUUGGAAGUUCUUUUGAUAAGUUUAGCACAUAUCAUUUGGGGGAAAUGGGUUAUAACACUCUGCUCUGAUUGCAUUUAAGUUUAAAGUGUAUCACUUUAAAAAUGAUAGGCAUGAUUUUGAAGGUUCACCUUUCGACCUCCUUUAUACUCCUGGCUCUGCCUUUCCAGGAGUUUUGUCUUAGACAAGAUAUUUCACCUUUCUGAGUCUUUCUCAUUCCUAAAGGAGCCCCACAUUCUCAUUUGUAAGGUUAUUUCAAACCUCCAUGGGCAACUUAGGCCUGCUCCACUCAUACACUGAGUGGGAAUGUACCCACAGGGCAGUCUUAUAGGCAUUUCAGGUUUAAUUUGUUUGUGACCCAUUCUAGGGAGUCUUGCUAAAUUUUGGCAUGUUAUUGAACUUAUUUCCUAGGUCUGUAAUAACAAACUGAAGGAUUGGUGCUUAGACACAUACCUUCUAAAUCAGAAUACAUGUGGGCGUCCACAUUUACACUUUACAGGUCCAGAGUCUUCGUGGGACUAUCCAGGAAAAGAUGACAAAAAUCUCUUCACAUGAUUGUCCAGGAAAAGCUUUUCUUGAGUCCCACUGUGAACACAAAGUUGUGCCCAUGAUCCUGCUGUGGUGUCUUCCCAGAAGAGUGGAGCUCAAGGGAGACUGGGAAUGGAAGAAGCAAGAAGUUCUGACAAUACCAAUUGUUUAGGUAAUUUUUUAACAUCCUGAUUUAAACUUACAAGUUCAAUAUAUUUAAAGUAAUAACCCAGGGCCAGUCAAAGGAUAGUUCAGUAGGUAAACAUGCUUGCCACUAAACCUGACAAUCAAAGUUUGAUUCCCAGAACUUACAUGGCAGAAGGAGAGAAAUGAUUCCUGCAAAUGGUCCUCUGACCAUCACUCACAAACAGUGGUACAAGCAUACAUGCAUUCACAGACACACACUCACUGAAUGAAUGAAUUAAUGUAAAAAUUAAAAUAAGAACCAUGGACAGGCGGUGGUGGUGCAUGCCUUUAAUCCCAGCACUCAGGAGGCAGAGGCAGGUGGGUCUCUGUGAAUUCUAGGACAGCCUGUUCUACCCAGCGAGUGCCAGGACAGCCUCCAAAGCUAUACAGAGAAACUCUGCCUCAAAAAAACCAAUAGAAAAAGAAAACAAGAAUUAUGAAACAAAGACAGUAGAGAAGGAACAAAGACUAGUAUGGAACACUCAGUGCUGUUGUGUGGACAUAGAGUGUCUUCCGGCGACUCAGGUGUUAAGGAUGUGACCUUGGGUCACUGGGGCAUGCCCUCCAAAGCAGCUGUGGGGAACUGACUUCUUUUCCCUUU
rnacentral:lncRNA from 1 species